rnacentral:rRNA from 1 species
AACGAACGCUGGCGGCAUGCCUAACACAUGCAAGUCGAACGAGACCUUCGGGUCUUGUGGCGCACGGGUGCGUAACGCGUGGGAACCUGCCCUUAGGUUCGGAAUAACUCCCCGAAAGGGGUGCUAAUACCGGAUCAUGUCUUCGGACCAAAGAUUUAUCGCCUUUGGAUGGGCCCGCGUUGGAUUAGCUAGUUGGUAGGGUAAAAGCCUACCAAGGCGACGAUCCAUAGCUGGUCUGAGAGGAUGAUCAGCCACACUGGGACUGAGACACGGCCCAGACUCCUACGGGAGGCAGCAGUGGUGAAUAUUGGACAAUGGGCGAAAGCCUGAUCCAGCAAUGCCGCGUGAGUGAGGAAGGCCUUAGGGUUGUAAAGCUCUUUUACCCGGGAUGAUAAUGACAGUACCGGGAGAAUAAGCUCCGGCUAACUCCGU